rnacentral:lncRNA from 1 species
AAAAAAUGGAAUUUGGGCACAACUGAUGUUACCAACAGUUUCUAACCAUCAAAGUAUAUGGCUUUGCACUUAGGCCCUUCCCUUUGGUCGAAUUUGAGCAUGAGGUCGAAGGUCGUCACGCAAAUUUGGAGCAGGGCAGAGUAGCUCACCAUGUGGGGGCUACGAUGGCAGUGCGAUGGUGAGUUGGUGAAGUGACGAGAUGGUGCGGUGCCAUGCCAAGCUUCUGUGCCUCUAUUCGUCUCCUGACAUAUGUCGUGUUCUCAAAGAUGUCAUACACCCUAAGCAGCCAUAGUUCAUGGUCCAACCACUUCACUAGUUAUAUAGUGUGUGAUAUAUGCAAUAAUCACAUUAUCAAUGAAUGUAUAUACGCAAAAAAUUAUAUUAGCAUGCAAAACUUAAAAUAUUUCAUACAAUUGAUGGAUCUGGGUUACGCGGGAUGGCCUUUUCUGUCGAUGGCUUAAAUGGAACAUCGCUAGGGUGGAAACAUGGUGCCUGUGGGUGGGGAAGUGAUCCGCCACCAUUCAUCAUAACUAAAAAACUGAAAAAACAUCCCAACAAAUAUAGAACCCCCAUAUAAAUAUACCAUGUAAUAUUAUAUAUUAGAGAAACAUAUAAACAAUGAAUCAUCAAGAGAUAUAUGCAUGCCAAGUAAACUUAAACAUUUUGCACAUAUUUUUUUGAACGAUUAUUAACUCUCAUGAAAAAUAAUGUUGCUAACAAAUAUCUAGAAAACAACCACAUAUUCAUAAUAUAAAAAACACUAAAAUUCACAUAUUUAAAUAUUUCUAUGCUUAUUCAUAAUUUUAAAACAUUUAAUCCACAUAUUUUAAUAUUUCUAUACUUCUUCAUGAUCUAAAAUAACCACAUAUAGUUGAAUAUUUCAUAAUCUUAAAAACCAACCACAUAUUCAUAAUGUAGAAACAAAGAUCUACAAAUGAUGUAUAAAUAAAAAUAAAUUCCACCAUUAUAUAAUCUAAAAACCAUAUAUUUGAAUAUUUCUAUGCUUGUUACUAAAGCUAAAGCAUCAAAUGAUCUACAUUGUUAACAAUGAAAUAUUAGAAGAUGAAGUUGCUAACCUUUGAAAGAUUUGGAGAUGAAGGCGGCAGCGCCCGAGAGCAAGAACUUGCUCCCCCAAGCAAGAACAGGAUGAACACAAGUAGGUGACCCAGAUUUGAGCACCUAGUCUCGUCCUAGCUAGGGGGGGGGCAGUGCAAGCAUAUAUAUAUAUAUAUAUAUAUAUAUAUAUAUAUAUAUAUAUAUAUAUAAGGGCUUUUAGUCUCGGUUAGUAGAGCUUUCCGGGAUUAAUGGAUAAACAUCUAGUUUCGAUUGGAGCCACAAACUGGGACAAAAGGCUGGCUGGACCUUUGGUCUCAGUUGGUGGUUCCAACUAGAAUUGAAAGGCAACCUAAGUCUCUAUUGGAAUCACCAACCCAGACUAAAGGUCUCCAGAUAGUGCUGUAAAAGCCUGGUAUACUAUCCAUCGGCAGGAGAUUCUAGUCCGUUAUUCCAACCGGGAUUAAAUUUCCUAUGGCUCACGUGCUAAAAUCCACCCGAAGCUAAACCAAAGAUAAAAAUCUGUUUUCUACUGGUGCCUCUCGCUGGAGAAGACAGGGUUUGGGGGUUUUUCCACAGCCAGUAGCUAUAGCUUUUCUCUUAAUGAAAACGGGUGGGGCUGUUCCCUGUUUUUUUUAAUCAGUAUUGCUUUUCUCUUAAUGAAAAAUGGGUAGGGCUGUUCCGUACUUUUUUUUUGUAAUCAGUAUUCAGUGCAUAGUAAAAUCAAGAAAUAGCGAGUUUUGACAUAUACCUAUAACACGAAAUCCCUGUAUGCAAGCCGUACAAUAUGAACUGAACAGAUGGAAGAGUCCUGACAAAUUGAGAUUCGAUUGAAAAUAGCGAGGAAAUUAGUUAGACUAGACAAUUAUGAUAGGAUAGGAAACACCUGACCAUUUUGUCACAUUGUGGAGUCACUCCGCCUGACUUUUUUAUUCGGUCUCUUGCAUAUUUUCUCCGCAAAAAAAAAAAAAAGCCUGCCGGCCACCACAUUGUUCUUAUGACUGGAAAAACGAACUUUGCGUAUAGUAUUGACUUAGACUUGUCAUGCAUGCCUGACUCAUGAAAGAUUUUUUUUAGGGCAACCUAGAGAUUUUUCAGGUAAAUCCGUUGUGCCUUUUUUACUGCGUCGUAACAACAGACUUGUUUGGUCAGCUGACUUCAGAAAGCUAGGUUGGACUUUUCAUAGCUCCUCUUUCUCGAGGGAGAGCAUUAUUUUAUAUUUUCAUUUAAAGCUUUGUUCUUCGAAUACAGUAUUAUAAACAGCAAAAUAGAAGAUUUAAAGCAGCACAUGCAGAGACGAGAUAUCGACGAAGUCUUCCCGGCCGGUCCCAUGUAUCCUUUUGCAUUGCAUGCAUGCUUGUUCUGUCGUUCUCUUGCUUGAGAAAUGCACAUGGAGGACAUGCUUGUUCAGUCGUUCAGGCCUGGAUCAAUUAUUUAAAUUCGUAUUUCAGUUUGAAGUUUGAACAGUCGUCGAUAUCGAUGUGUUGUGAUGCCUGCUUGUGUGCAAUGCAAGGAAGAUCAAACAAAGCUCCGUCCAUCAUCAGGUCAGCCAGUCGUUGCUGGUUGCGGCGAGCGGCGGACAAUCGCCGUGAAGGGGGACAUGUGUUAGGGUUUCAGUGCUUACUUUUGUUAAUUACGAGUCAUUGAUUCUUCAAUCUUCAUACACACAGGUGUUAUGCGCACACGAUGACGUGCUGCAAAGUACACAUGCCGAUACCAACCGAGAUGGUUCCUAUGCAAUUUCUUUAAUUUGUAUGAAUUGUACGCUUCCUAUCAUCGAUCCAUGAUGCGAGGCCGGUGUACGUACAUAGUUAGGGAUACAUAUGUAUAUAUUGAGAAGUUUGCAUUGUUGGUCAAAACUGCAGCAUAGAUUUCUUGCACAAAGCGAUACGAUAGAGGUCUCAUCACGAGCCCUGGUGCAAAUCUUAGCCACCAAGGCCAGAAAUUGUGUGCGUCCUUCUCAAAUGUUCCUCGAAGUAUAAUUAAGCUGGCCAUUUGAUUUUUGUUGUCUGACGUCAUGUUUAGAUUCAAAAAGUUUUAGAUUUUAACACUAUAGCACUUUUGUUUUUAUUUAACAAACAUUGUUCAAUCAUGAAAUAACUAGGCUUUUUCGUCUCACGAUUUGCAGAUAAACUGUGCAAUUAAUUUUUGUUUUCAACUAUAUUUAAUGCUCCAUGCAUGUGUCGCAAAAUUCGAUGUGACAGGAAUCUCGAAAAGUUUUUUGUUUUUGGGGUGAACUAAACAAGGCCAUAUUCUUUGUGUUGGCCACGCCUUGUUCGUUUGGCUGAUAAGCUAUAACAGAAAGUAGUGUUGGCUGAUUUAUUGUGAAAGAAAAACAAUGUUGAAUGGUUGGUAGAUUCAAUUGAUACGCCCAAGUAAUGGUUGGCAAAGAAUACUUUUAAUUUGUAUUUGGACCACUUAAUAAAUAAUUACUGUAAACCAUUCGGUUCUUCUUAACCACUGAGGUGGCAUCUACACGAUGCAUAUUGUCAAAGUCUAAUAAAAGUGAGAAAUUUUAUAAUGGUUGGAAAAAACUUGAGCCAUCUAUUUGAUGAGAUCAGAUAGCGUAAAAAUAGGUCCAAAGUGAAAGUAACAAGAGGGGGACAAUACCAAAAUUAGGUGGGGUAAGUACCAAACUACGUGGAAUUUGGUUAAUUUUUUAUUUUUUAUAUGUUUCGGUCAUGGAUAAAUUGAUAAUUUUAGCAUCUUCAUUGAAGCUCCCAGACGGCCGUACGUGGCCUUCCCUACGGCCGCUGGCUCCGCCACCAUCGCGGCGACCUCCCAAGUGAAGAGCUGCUAUAGCACCCGGCGUGUGUACCGGCCUCGCCGCCCUGACCCUCGGUGCAGUCGCCUCUUGCACCGAGAUCUCCUCGGCGGAGAAAGGGAACAUGGGCUCCAAAAAGGUCUUGGAUGAUGAUGUCAAUGAACAGUGGCGGAGCACGGCACAAAAUCAAAGGGGAGGGGGGCAACUUGACAAAGCACCAAUGUUGUAAAAAAAAAACUUGACAAAGUACAAGUGAAAUAUGAUGGGUUUAUUUAAUUGUUUGAUUUUCUUCUUCCUCAUCUACUACUUUUGUAUCUUCUUCUUCUGCUAGUUCAUCUAAGGCCUUAUUUAUUUCCACCCAAAAACCCAAAAAUUUUCAAGAUUUCCUGUGACAUCGAAUUUUUAGACGUAUGCAUGGUGUAUUAGAUAUAGAUAAAAAUAAAAACUAGUUACACAAUUUGGUCGGAAUUUGCGAGACGAAUCUUUUGAGCAUAGUUAGUCCAUGGUUGGACAAUAACUACAAUGUCACGAAAUUUUUCUUUUCGAAAACUAAACACGGCCUAACUGAGCUGCUGCUGCUUCCUAAUUUUCUUCUGGCUUAAGUAUUGCGCGCAGGAGCCUCACCUCAAAGGUAUCUUCCUUUUCCAACAUCAAUAUAUAUCUGAUUCAUCUUUUUUUUUCUCGAAUAUGCAAGAGAUCUGCGUAUCAUUAUAUUAAGAAGAAAGAGUUUAUAAUACAACUAACGCGCAACAAGCGCGCUAGGUGGUCACUAGCUGCACCAACCUAGCAAAGAGUUCUGUGGGCCCAUAUUACAUAAAUGGGUCAACCAGAAUACACCCAACGUCGCAUCCUACGAGUCCUCCCAGAAGAGAUCGCGCGCGCGCCCGUUAAACGCUGGGAACAGCGUGUCUAGGCCCUCCACCUCGCUCGAUGACAAGGUCCCAGUACGCAGGGCGUCGAGUAUCCCUCUUGGCGCGGACGAAUCCGGUGCGGUCGGUGGAGCGAUCCCUAGCCGCCUAUUUAGGAGAACCUCGCCCCGCUUGGAGGCCGAAAUGUGCGCCAACGGUUGUGCAGCAAUCCGACUGCUCCUGAGGCGGACAGGCGGGAGCCUCCUGACAGGCGUCCUCUCCCGAGGUGAGGAGGCGAUCAGGGGCGGCUCCCGCUCGACUCGUACCUCGUCAAGAAACCUUGCAAGGCAUCGAGCGGCGUCGGCGUCUCGUCCCCACACACGACGUCAAGUUGACCCGUAUGAGGAGGCGUCAGCAACGCUGACUCUGGCACCUAUGGCUGAGACGGGGCGGAAAAGAAUGGAGAGAUGGAGUUUGCAGAAAACCCAUUGUUUUGCUACCUAAUUAAGAAAUUACAUCUAGUCAGUUUGAAAAUCUGAGGCCUUGUUUAGUUCCGAAUUUUUUUUGGAUUUUAUUACUGUAGCACUUUCGUUUUUAUUUGACAAAUAUUGUCUAAUCAUGAACUAACUAGGAUUAAAAGAUUCGUCUCGUGAUUUAUAGAUAAACUGUUUAAUUAGUUUUGUUUUCGUCUAUACUUAAUGCUUCAUGCAUGUGCCGCAAGAUUCGAUGUGACGGGAAAUCUUAAAAACUUUUUGAAUUUCGGGUGAUCUAAACAAGGCGUGAAUCUAUAAAAACCAAACAUGGAAAGUGGAAAGAAACAGACAAAAAGAUUAGAGAUUGAAGAAAUAACCUGCAGGCAGUAGGCUGGUAGUGCUCCUGCAGGUUGCCGUCCUGCUAGGAGUUAGGACGACGGCGAUGGCGUCACGGCGAGUCACGAGCAGAGCGGCUGCCGGCUGUGAUCUCUGCCUGGCGAGCGGCGGCGAUGCUGAGCCCGUACGUGGUCCGUGGCGAUGGGCGAACUAGCGCUUCUAGCGGACGAAGAUACGGCAGCGGAGUCGAUUGCAUCGGCCGUCCGCCCUCAAGCGAGAUUGCUGUCUCUUCUCG